AACUCCCAAACCCCAUUUUUCACUUCCUUUUCCUCAAUCAACAGUGUAACCCUAAGCUCUCUAGCCUCCCAAACUCUCAACGUAAACCUCAGCUUGUAAUGAGCUGUCUUCGGCCAAAUUUGGCAAGAACUUCAACGCGUUUUCAUCGUCUUCAGCUUUUAUUCGUUGAUUUCAGGAAAAACAUGAAUGUUUGGUGUCUUCUUCCUCUUCAAAAGGUAACUUUGCUCCCACUCUUUCUUCUCAUUGGUUCUCCCCUCUUUCGUUUGUACAACAAGGACGAAGAUCAUUUAUUAUCUACAAUUCGAUUUUUUUUUUUUUAGUCGGAUUCGAAAUCCGGACUUCAAAUUUCCCUCAAGGCUGAACAAAUUUCAAAUUGGACUAGGUCCCACAUCGUUCCUUUUGUUCAACCCUAGAAUUUAGGGUUCUCUAAAUACUCAUUCAACAGACCAACGGUUCAGACCCCCAAAUUAUGAGAUUUUCAGCUAUUCAACUUAAAACAAAAAAAGUUUCUUGUGAGUUGACUUUUUGUAAAGAUUCCCACGUUGGAAUUGCCAUGAAAGGAUAAAGGAAAGAAAAUCAAAUUUUCAUUCAACAUAUCUCCUCACAAAGCAAAUACAAGAUAUUUAACAAGACCCAAAACAAUCUAACUAACCUAACACGCGGCAACCGCAACUGUGAUCAACUUUAGGGAUUAAAAAGUAAAUAAAAAGGACCCAAACGACAUUAGAAAAACUUUAGACCCGACCCAAGCCUCUCAAUUGUUACAUUCCAUCCCUCUUCAAAGAGCCUUGUCCGCAAGGUUCAUAAAUCUGGAAUUCCUUGAACUUUUGUUGCCCAUUUAAUAAUAAUUUAUAAACAUUGACAUAUGCUUCCAAAAACAUCAUUCAAAUUUCCAAAAACCAAUGCACAGUCGGACUAUUCAACCAAUCCUAUAAGUAGCAAUUGCAACACCAUUUGAAUAUGUCAUGGCACCACAUAUUUUGAACCAAUGAUCUCCACAAGGAUGAUCAAGUGCAGUUGCAUCAGUUCUACUCCUAAAUAGAAGUGUGACCCACUUGCAACCUGAUCCAUCAGUAAUACCACCAUAUGAUUUCAUCUCAAAAACCACCAAGAGAAUUCCACCUGCAAUGAAAUUAGUUACAGCAUCGGAAAUGAUUAUUUUUUCCAAGGACUCAUUUGAUAUCUUAGAGGGAUCAGCAGCCACAACAACCAGUAGACCUGCAAUCAUGGACUUGUCCGAAUCAUGAACAUAUUCAGAGGUUGAAGGUCCGUCUACCAGUUUAAAUGAUAGAACAAGUUUCUACUCUAGUUGUCGAACAAUUCGCCACUCUAGGGACAGCCAAAUUCUCAACCAAGUAUCCCAUUUUACUGAAAACUAAGAGCAACUGUACAAGUCCCACCAUGCUAGAACUUAAGGCACUGUGGAACUGCAAGGAACCAUAGUUGUAAUACUCUAGCAGUGAAGUCACAAAAUGAUUAUGACCUUGAGCAAAAAUGAUAUCAAGAGGUGGAUAUAAAAGGCAUUAAGAAUAAGUUCCAUGAAAAAUCAGUGAAGUAGCUAAUGCUACCAUUGCCAACCACCACUGAAGUAAUACCUUAAUAAGAGUAAUCACAAUUGAUAUUGCAGUCGCUUGCACGAGCAAAUAUAGUUGAGCAUCAUAAACAAACAAAAAGGUGCUAUCAUUUGUCAAGCGCAUAGACCGGCUAUUAAUACCAAUAUCCUCUUCAUCACACCACCCAGGUUCUUUGGUUCCAACAAAAUCAAUUGAUUGAUUCUUUACUAGGUUCAGAUGCAGAGCAUAAUAGGGAGAUAUCCCUUGGGUCGUACAACAACCUACCUUUGUCCUUCUAGAACAUAUCUCGAUAAAUUCACUUAUUUGUAAUAUAAUUUUGAAACAAGUUGUACCUUCUGUAGCUUGCCAUUUAAAAGUCUCAUCUUCUUUCAGGAUGUUUACAACCUCUAGUGUAAUACCUUCUAGAGGUAGCAGAUAACCUGAAAGUUUAGAAAUGAUGUUGUAAUUGUAUAUGGAAAGAUAAUCCAGCGAAAGAAUGUCGAGACAAGCCUUAUAUCGACCUCAUCCAGCAUCAUUGCAUGCAAUGUUAGAUUACGAGCACAACUAGUGCUUCUACUGCAGCUAACACCAGGAUCUUCAAGAACUACAAAAUCAUAAGGAGGUAACUGCUCAACCAAGAUCAAUUCCGUCCAACAUAUAAUAUUUCUCAUGGGCAUUUCAAGAACAUCUAGAGCAUAUAAGACUUUAGCUGAUCCUCCCGCAACUAAAUGGUUUGUGACGGUUUUACCAUGCAAUGACUGACGGUUCCCCAUGACCUCCCGCAGUCAAGUAGGUGACAUUUUUCUCUUCAGAAAAAUCCUAGCAUUUAUGCCAAAGUUAUGAUGAAGCCAUUUGCUAUAUUGAUCAAUAGCCUGAAUUGACUUCAUGUUCCUCAAUUCUUCAAAAUGGUCUGUCACUCUUCGAGCACUAGCUUUAGGAAAAUCAUCAAAUAAGACCUCAUUUGGGAACUGGCCACUGAGAUGAGUGAAACCUUUUGGGUCUAGUAGAUAAUGAACAAUUUCUUUCAGUCCAUCUUGUGCCCCCUCAACUCCCUUAAUUUUAGCCAACCUUUUGUUGUUUUCCACAAUAAGCUGCAAUUCUGCACCUAGACCAAGUCCACUGAUGAGUCCCUCCUAGUGAUUCAGUUCCCACACUGCCAUAAGCUCAUCUAUAGAGCUAGAACUAUUUCUUAUGCUCAGAGUCAAGUUUCUAUCUUCUUGUCGUAGUACUUUUGUCGAACAUUUGGACAUCGUUAAUUUCAGAUUUAUUCUCUUGGCUAUCUUCAAUUUUUAGAGGCUCAUUUCCUCCACUUUCAUCCCAAUGCAAUUCCGUCACACAAAUUCCAUACAUUUGGAGAAUUUGGUCAAGCACUUGAUAUUUGUUAUCUUCUUUUUUGGUGUCAACUGGUACCACGUUCCCCAGUCCUCUAGAGACUCAUCUCGUUCGCUUUCAUCCCAUUGCGUAUCCUUCACCUUGAUUUCAUUCCUCUGCGGCAUUUUAUCAAACACUUCAUCCACACUACAACCUGAAUGAUUUCGAGUUCCACCAUAAAUAUCAGGAAGAGUCACAUUUUCUCCACUUCCUUCCAUAAACAGAGGUUUAACACAUUGAUGGUCUCCGUGUAGUUUUCAUUCCCAAGAACAGAUGAAUUGGUCUCUAAAUCACUCUUACAUGAUAUCGGCAGUAUCGAACCAUCAGUGAAGGCUAUGUAAUAGUAACCUAAAUUGUUACCGUCGUAACAAUAAGCAUAUGGAACUUGUGUCGAACCGGUUCCCAUCCUAUUGAGCCACUGUAGAAAAUGUGAAUUUGUAGAUGGAUCAAGAUAAUUCCAUCCUCCGAAAGCUACAUUUUCAUUGCAAUGGGCAUGGAGAUGAGCAUAUGAGUCCUCAUUGGACUAGAUACAGUAGGUGUAUUGAUAGACAUUAGGAUGUGAACUACAAUAUUGACUUGCAUAUGGAUUUGCUGGAAGCUGCUGCUCACUGCCCCAUUCUUUUGUUGCGUACGAACCGAGAGCUCCGUGGAAAUGGGUAUUGGGCCACGAAGGAUGCUCUGAUACCAAUUGAAACGAUUCCCAUGUUGGAAUCGUCAUGAAAGGAUAAAAGAAAGAACACAGGGAAAGAGAAAAGGAAAUAAUAAGAUAAAAUUCAGAUUUUCAUUCAACAUAUCUCCGCACAAUGCAAAUACAAGGUGUUUAACAAGACCCAAAAUAAUCUAACUAACCUAACACGUGGCAACCACAACUGUGAUCAACUCUAGGGACUAAAAUGUAAAUAAAAAGGACCCAAACGACAUUAGACAAACUUUAGACCCGACCCAAGCCUCUCAAUUGUUAUAGUUUUUUUCGCGAAUCGUCGGGUUAAGUUUAAUAUUUUUCUUUCGAUUCAUUUCGAGUGUUCAAAUCUUUGGUAAAGUUCAAGGUCCAAUCUCGACUCUCGUCGCCUCAGUCGCUGCUCCAAAAAAGCUCACCUGCAAUUCACUGAAGUGGAACCAUAAGAAGAGCUAGACAAGAUUGAAGAAGUUUGAAGUCACGUCUUUGCGUGUUUUGUAGCAUAACCCCUUUAAGUUUGAACCCUCUACAAAUUGGUAGUAACUUUGUUUUAAUAUGGGGUUUUAGCUAUUUAAGUUAUGUGUGGCCAAGCACUGCUCUUAAUUUUAUGUAAAAUCUUUCCAUGUCCAACUGGCUUCUUGUGAGCAAAUAAUCUAAGUGUGCAGUGUUUGUUCCUCUCUUUAGUUUUCUAUGUUAGUUGCUGAAAGCUGUUUUCAACCAUGCUCUUGUAUCCAAUUUCUGGAAACUAAAUCUUCCCAUGUACGUGCUCUCGUUCAUCAAGUGUUAGCACUUUGAGUUGUAAUAAGUAAAUAUCCGUCCUUAGACAUUUGAAUCUUGACCGAAAUCCUUAAAGAGAGGGUCUGUUAUGUCUAAAGUGUGUUAAGUCCAAGCUAAGACAUUAUCCACCAGCUAAUGUAGAAACAUUUCCAUUUUGAAUGUUGAGUUCUCAUCAACUGUAGUUAAGUAUGGAUUUAGUCUCCUGUUAGUACUAAAAUUAGCUUAAAAAGUUGAGCAGCGUUCUUUUCUUUCUCUGGAUUCAAGUUUCCCCUUGUUUUUUUUGUCUUUAAAAUGUAUUAGAGAUCGUUUUUUGCCUUACCCAUAUUCUCCAGUAAAACAUCUCAUUUGGGUUCGUUUGAUUCCAUGUUUAAAAGUGCGUUGAUGGGUGUGUCUAUGAAUUGGUUUGAGACUAAAUAAUCAUAUUAUUAGAUCUCUAAUCCUUUUAUUUAUUUUAUGCAUGGAAGUUUCCCGAACGAGUCCAAUGCACUCAUCUCUUCUCCAUCACAUUUUGUGUUGGGCCAACGUUAUCGAGUCAGCCUCUAUCUUCAUUGAAUAAAUAAGGGGAAAGGACACAGAUGGCCGGUCGGCCCAAACUUAUCCCACCCAAUGGCCCAACUUUGUACAAAUCCAAAUUAUAGCCACUAAAAUAAUUCCAGCCGUUAGCCACUUUUCUUUCUUUUUCUGCCUUCUCCAUUUUUCUUCUUCCUCUUGCACCUUCUUCUCCUCCUCUUUCCUCUUCUACCUUCUCCAGUUUUAUUUGAUACAAAUUACUUUUACAGGAAAAUGUUUACCUCAUCAAAGAUCAAAACUGGCAAAUGACAAACCAAAAGUAAUAUCUAGAGCCAUGUUGCUCCAAAUUUUAAAUAAGCAGAUUGAAGAAUGCAAAUAAAAUAGUAUAAAAUAAACAAAAGGAAGAAUGAGUAAAAUAUACGAACAAGUGCAAAAGAUAAAAAAUCAACAGUUCAUAAGGAAGCACGUAGGAAAGGACACAUAUGAUUGUCGUUGUUUUUUGUGAGUUGCAAGUUACGAAAAUGGCAGAGGAUUCAUAUGAAGACGUCAUUGCAGGAUUGAAAAAGCUUUGAUGUAUAGAAACUGUAUCAUAUGUGUAUAUAAUAUGUAUCCCUGUUGUAUAUGCAUAGAAAUUAUAUCAUAUGUGUAUAUAAUAUGUAUCUCUAUUGUAUAUGUAUAUAAAAUGUAUCAUUCUUGUAUAGAAAGUGUAUAUAUAAUUCCAACAUGUGUAUAUAAAUUGUAUCAGUCUUGUAUAGAAAGUGUAUCGUACGUAUAAAAAAUGCAUUAUAGAAACUAUAUCAUCAUUGUAUAAUAUGUGUAUAAUAAAUGUAUAAUUAACGUAUAAUAAAUGUGUGAUUAAUUCCAGCAUAUGUAUAUAAACUGUAUCAUUCUUGUAUAUAAAGUGUAUAUAUAAUUCCAACAUAUGUAUAUAUGCUGUAGCAGCCCUUUAGUGGUGACGUUUUUGUGGCGACUAAAAAGUCUUAUUUUUUUAUUUUUUUAAGCGUCUGGGCUGUUGGGCCGACCAGCCUUGGCAUUAUUUUGGGCCGACCGGCCAUUUUUUGGCAUUAAUUUGGGCCGACCGGACUCCUGGUGGGAUUAAACCCAAACAGUGAUUAAAUGUCGGAUUAGUUUGGCUGAGUGGACACACAGUGUUUUUUUCCCAAUAAAUAAAGGGCAAUUUGCAGCAUUGCCCUUCGCUGGGGGUGGGGGGAUUUUACAUAAAUGACUAAAAUUUAGGGGUUUUAAAUUGGGCAUAGCUACAUUUUAGCUAUUUACAUUCGUAGCUACAGUGCGCGCUACAGUAGUUUGCUACAGUUAAUUGUAUUCAGAAAUCGGAUUGUAUUCAAAAUUCGGUUGAGUUAGAUUUUGCUGUAUUCAAAUCAGAUGUAUUCAACUAAACACAAAAAUUUGCACUAAAGAAAUUAACGAAUACACUCAAAAACUGAAUACAAGAAAUAAAUUUCACUCUAUUCAUUUGUAUACAAGAAAUAAAAUUAACGAAUACACUCAAAACUGAAUACAAGAAAUAAAAUUCCGACCAAAUUUGAUUGUUCUCGUCCAUAUCUGACCGCUGUCACCGUCGUCGUCAUCAACACCGAAUUGUAUUCAAAAUAGAAAGUCAUUUCCGGCCAGAUCUGACUUCGUCGUGAGGGAGAAGAGAGAGAGACGGUGAACAACAACCACCACCACAGCCAACAACACCGUCACACCAUCUUUUUUCUCCCUCCUUCACUCCACCACCAUUACAUCUCUCUCUAUACUAUUUUUUCUCUCUGUUGCUCAUUUUUCUUCUAAGUAAAGCUCCAUUUCACCAUAAAAAUCCAAAAUCUCAACAGCAACAGCCAUCGCCGAUUGUUGUUGUCCGGCGAACCACAACAACAACACGAACCACAGCCAACAGCAGUGACCGGAGCUUACUUCUCCGUCUGGAUUUCGCAUGAAGCAGUGGUGACGAUGAGGGAGCAGUGACCGGCGAUAUUGAGGGUAGAAGGGAGGGAGAAGGAUGGAGGAGAGAGAAAAAUGUGGAUACAGGGGUUGCUUUUUUAGUUUAUCCUAUUUUGUAUGUUUUAGUUAUGGAGUGUAAUUGAUAUACACUUUUUAGCUAUGAGGUGUAAAUAAAUUAAAGUAUAGUUACUAAAUAAAAAUAA